rnacentral:rRNA from 1 species
CUCCAGUUGAUCGCAUGGUCUUCUGGGAAAGCUUUCGCGGUAUGGGAUGGGGUCGCGUCCUAUCAGCUUGACGGCGGGGUAACGGCCCACCGUGGCUUCGACGGGUAGCCGGCCUGAGAGGGCGACCGGCCACAUUGGGACUGAGAUACGGCCCAGACUCCUACGGGAGGCAGCAGUGGGGAAUAUUGCACAAUGGGCGCAAGCCUGAUGCAGCGACGCCGCGUGAGGGAUGGAGGCCUUCGGGUUGUAAACCUCUUUUAUCGGGGAGCAAGCGAGAGUGAGUUUACCCGUUGAAUAAGCACCGGCUAACUACGUGCCAGCAGCCGCGGUAAUACGUAGGGUGCAAGCGUUAUCCGGAAUUAUUGGGCGUAAAGGGCUCGUAGGCGGUUCGUUGCGUCCGGUGUGAAAGUCCAUCGCUUAACGGUGGAUCCGCGCCGGGUACGGGCGG